UACGUAGGGCGCAAGCGUUGUCCGGAAUUAUUGGGCAUAAAGCGCGCGUAGGCGGCUCUUCAAGUCGGUGGUGAAAGCCCGCAGCUCAACUGCGGAACAGCCUUCGAUACUGUCGAGCUUGAGUGCAGGAGGGGUGAUCGGAACUCCAGGUGUAGCGGUGAAAUGCGUAGAUAUCUGGAGGAACACCGGAGGCGAAGGCGGAUCACUGGACUGCCACUGACGCUGAGGCGCGAAAGCUAGGGGAGCAAACAGG
rnacentral:rRNA from 1 species